GAGAAGGAGCUGAGAGUUCAGCAUCCUGAUCGGAAGGCAGCAGGAAAAGAUUGAGUCACUGAGCUUGGGCUUGAACAUCUGACCUCAAAGCACGCCCCCUAGUGAUGCGCUUCCUCCAACAAAGCCACGCCCACUCCAACGAGGCCACACCUCCUAAUGGUGCUACUCCCAGUGAGCCAAGCAUUCAGACACAUGGGUCUGUAGGAGCCGUUCCUAUUCACACCACCAUACCUGGUAUGUCUGGAAAGAAGGAAUCUGUAAGUGGAGGUGAUGCUUUGGCAUCUGGGGCAGGGAUGGGGCUUCAAGGAAGUACUUGAGGGAAAAGUAGCAGUUGGGCCAGAGAAGGGAAGCUCACUGAAGAUAGCAUUUUUGAGAAAGUAUCAGCCAAAUAGAAAGGGCUUGCUGACUGGGGGAAGAGAAGAGAAACUAUGUUUGAUUCUAACAGCUAUGCAUCCGGAUAAGGUACCUCUGUGAUUUCUCAUAUGUCCUUGUGCCUAGCACAGCCCAGGAGCUCACAGAAGCCCCUGAUAAAAUAGAGCUCAAAUGAUCAUGUUUUGAAGCAGAGACAGACACUCGAGCUGAACCUUAGACCGCAGACAGGAGGGCUCUCCCAAUGUGAGUGCCUGAGGACCAAGUCACACUGGCAGGCAUGCUUGGACACACCAGUACUCAGACACACAGUGGGUCCUGUGGCACCCCAGUGGGCCGCUCGCUUGUUGGUCACCCUGUUAGUACUAGAGGCACAGACGGUUCUCUACGUUUUGCCUUUGGGGCUGUGUCAGCUGUGCCUUGUCUUUUCUUAGUGCUUAGCUUUGAACAUCAUUACUUUUCUUAUGCCUCUCCCCGUGGAGAAGGUUCAGCUAUUCUCUUCUCGGCGUUUCCUUUUCCCACUAGCUGGUCCCUCAAACACACCUCCCUGAAACACAGAGGAGCCAGCAAGUUGAGAACAGCAAUUCUCGGAGGGACUCUGCUUUUCUAUCCGCUUCAGGCUACCGGUCUUUGCUGGUUUCAGCAGGCUUCCGUGCUGGACAGCUCCCACACCUCCCAGUUCCCGCCUGGAAGCCUGUUGCAGCUUUCCUGUCUGUUUCCUCCUUGACCCUUUCCUGCAAUUUUGCCCCUUCCUUUACAAGACUGGCGGGGGCCGGGGGGACUGUCCAACUGCCUUUCCUGAAGACCUUCACUCUCCUUACUUUCCCAUUACCUCAGUGCCAGAGGAUCAACUUUUGAUACACACUCAGGACAUAACACUUACCUCCCAAAACUGUUUCCUCCUCCUCCUCUCCCUUCCACCAGAGUCAGGCAACCUGGUUAGACCUCACCUCUGUCAUUAUUUGAUAAUGGGCUCAAAGGCUUGCAUCAUGAUGGCUUCACAGUUGGCCUUGUUACAGAACUACCUGAAGUACCUUGUCUCUAAACGUAGCCAUUCACUGGUCUCAGGGUAAAAUUUCUAAAAAUUCCUCUCAGCACAGACCAUUGGGUGGCUCAAAGGCACCCUUCCUGCAGCUUCCUGAGGUCCCUGAGCAGUGUGGGAGCUUUCUUUGGCUUGUCAUUCCAGCUGUCACCUCUUCCUCUCUCUGUCUCUACAGCCAUUCUGAAACUCAAGGCCUGCCUGGAUCAGGAGCCUUUGAUAUGGACAAGGAGGAGCAGGAGACAUGCCGGUGUUGGCUGUGGGACUCUAGGGAAACUAUUCACACACUCUGGGUCUGAUCCACUACCAAGAGGAGCAGUAAAGCUAAGAGCUGUCCAGACUGUAGUCCAGUCUCUGGAUGACAGAUUGGCACUUGCUCUUUGGUCCCAUCUCCUCCCAGUUGGCUCUGCGUUUUUUCAGAGUGGGACCUACGGGCUUUUCCUUCAAACUCGGUUGAGGCCCACAUCUGCCGUGACUGCCCCGCAGAUUGAGCAAUAGUAAACAAGAGGAUGUGUGUUCUAGAAGAAGACUGUGAGACGAUGGAUGCUCAGUAGAGCACGGGGGGGGGGGGGCGCCACAGGAGAGUUAGUGUCACCCAUUUGGCACCUCAGGAGACCUGCCUUGUGAGAGGACAAUGGGCUCUGAGAGGAGAUAGGUAGAGGAGGCCCACACAGCCAUCUCCCCACUGCUUGCUUUGCUGGAGAACCCAGAGCUCUGCUUAGAUUGUUCCAGAAGCUGGACGGUAGGUAAUGCCCCAUCUGAAAGCUGGUGAUUUUGACAUCUAGGGCUAAACAGAGACUUGCAAGCAGGAAGUGAGUUAACUGGCUUGCCACUUUCCCAUGCUGUCAUCCCCAGCUUGAAACUGUGUCUCUUCCUUUCCCUGCCUGGUGACUCAGCUUUCUUAUCUUCCCAGACCCCCUAUGGGGUCCGGGGGGAAAACACCACUGUGAAGAAGCAGACACUACUUAGAGGGAGAAGUAGGGAGAAGAGAUUAAUGGGCCAAAAAGAGAUGUUGAACCUAGGGUGGGGUGCAGGCUCCUACCCAGAGAUCCCUCUAGGCUCACUGCAAAGCUGCAGAGAUUUGCGUACAUCUGCAUACAUUUGCAUAUGCUUAUUUCCCUUCUGAGUGCAGGCCUAGCUCCCUAUGGUUUCCUAUCCUCUCUUCCUCUACAUCCUGCUUGUUCAGCCAAGCAGGACCAGUACCUCACCAGGAGCCCCCAGGAGGCCACUACACUGCAAGUGAGCUAAGGUGGGCCUGACGGAGACACCUUGUGCAUGUAUGCACAGGGUCCAUUUCCUCCUGGGUCCUGAACUGAGAGGCUCUUAUUGGAUCACCCUGUCACUUGAGGCUAAAGGAUGACAAAAACUACCUUCCUUCUCUGUCUCCCCACCCACCCCCAGGUACCCACAUUGUCUAAGAAGCAGCAAAUCAGAAUGCAGGGCUGGAGAAAAGCCUUAGAGGUUUUUGCCUCUUACACACGUGUUAUACAGAAUGGCAAAAGCACAGGGCUGGACCAGUCAUUCAUCUAGCCAGUGGGGUCAGCUUUGCCAUGGACACCAUUGCCCCAGGGCUAGGAAUUCUGCAGGGAACAGAGUGGUCUCCCAUCCGUCUCAUAAAACUGACUGCACUUAGCAGGCAGAGAGGCACGAAGGAGAAAGAUAGGUAGCUGGGUAGAUGGUGCCACUGAUCCAGGAAAAUAAAGCCAGAGAGGGAGAAGCAGGAGGUAGGAGCCAUGAGGAAGACGAGCCACUAUGGUCAUCGGUGGUCCAGACACUGAAUCAGAGCUGCAGCAGGCCCGCCUAAAGUCCAACACAACCCCGCCCUGCUUCACUCUUCUGGUGCUGGAAAAGAAGGCCUAGGUGGCUCAGCCUUAAGAUGUGGCUGGCCCAGCUCAAUGACCAGUGACUACAUAGUCUGACCCUUGGCCUAGAUGAGGCAUAAGCUUCUUCCAAGCAAAUAGCGAUUUCUCCUUCCCUUUGAGGGUGCCAGGGACCAGGAAGAGGGAGGCUGGCUGCUUGGAACUUUUUGGAAAAUGGAAAUGUUUUAUAUCAUGAUUAAAAUUAAACAACUGUGUAAUUUUGUCAAAAGCACGUUGAAUUUCAUUAUACCUCAAAAAAAUGCUGCCAAAAAAAUUAAAAAAAUAAAAUAAAAUGGAAGGCAGGAGAGAGUGGGAUGAAGAGAAGGAUGGAAAUUGGCAAGCAGAGGACCCUGGAUGCAUUUCCUGUCUCAUCAGUCCUUGUAACCAGCAUGGUGCCAGGUGCUUCCUAAUCAUAUCUCCUCCCCUCCCCCUCACUCUCCGGACCUGUGAAAUGGAAAUAACCUUGUCUUCCCUUCACGGUGCUUGGGAGGGUCAAGCCAUUUGGGGUCCACUCCAUAAUACCUGCUCAGGUAACAGCAAUGACCCUUUUGCUAGGCAGGCAUUGUUGUAAGUGCUGUACUAGGUACCAAUAUCCCCAACUCAUAGAUGAGAAAAUUGAGGCACACAACAUCAAGUUUUCUCCCCCCUUCCCUUUGGAUAGAAUGGAAAACUUGAACCUUUUUCUGUGUUUUGCUGUGAUCCCACUGACACAUAAAUGGACCGUCACUAUCAUUCUCUGAACUACAAAGGAUCCACAGUUAAAUAAACUAAAGAAAUGCUGGGGUCAAAGAAACACUCAUUUAUUUCCUGUCUCAAAGGAUCUGUCCAUUCUGAAAAUAAGCAGGCUCCCCACAGCACAUGGCCUUUUGUGUCUGGUGUAUGCCAUGUGCAUAACGGUUUCAAGGCUCACCCUUGAUGUAGCACGAGCUGAUCCUAUAUUGACUUUUAUGAAUGGAGGCUAUGCCACUGUGCUGUACACUGGUUGCUUUUUGCAUCAUUGUGGCCACAGCGCAGAGCAGAAGCAGCCUAGGGGAAGAGAGGAUUUCUUUUGGUUCACGGUUUCAAAGCAUCUCACUUUGUCACGAUCGAGAAGGCACGGCGGGCGGGGUGCAUGGGGACAGGACUGAGAAAUGGGGGCGUCUCUCAUGGCAUGGACCAGGAAGCAGAACAAGGAACCCACUUCUAACUCCUAAGCCUUACUUCCUACAGGUCCAACAGCCUUCAAAAGCCUACGAGGUGGAGAGCGGCGCUUAAAACAUGAACCUGUGGGGGAGCAUACUAGAUUCAGAUCAUAACAUAUGGACAUACUGCACUUUAUCUGUUGAUCAGUCAUUACAUAAUCUCCACAUUUUGAAUUGUUGGUGCUAGGAGCACAAGUGAAGUUUUUGUAUAGACAUGGGUUUCCAACAGUCUUGUGUGUGUAUCAGAAAUCAAAUGCUGAGUCAGGGGCUGGAGAGAUGACUCAGCAGUUCAGAGCACUUACUGCUCUUAAACUUACUUGCUGCCCACAACCAUCGAUAGCCCCAGCUUCAGGGAAUCUGAGGCUCUCCUUUUGUUUCCAUGGACACCCACAUGGUAUACAUGCACCCAGACAAAUACACAUACACACAAAUAAAAACAAAUACUUGAAAAAUUGUCAAAGUCAAACGGUAUUUUUGUUUUAAGACCUGACAAAACGUUUCCCAAAGCUACUACUCUCUUGCUUUGCACUCCCACCAGCAGUGCACGGGGGCUCGAAUUCCUUUAGAUUUUGCCAACUGCCUUUAAAAAAAAAAAAAAAAAGAUAUAUUUAUUGUCAAUUUGUGUUCUCAACCUUUUGUGCAUGUGAGCGUAGGUGCCCUCUGAUGUCAAAGACUUGGAGCCCCCUGGGACUCCUGGGAGCUGGUGACCCUUGACCUAAGUGCAAAGAGCUGGACUCUCACCCCCCUCCCAACCCCUGAAAGAGCAGGACACAUUCCCGGCUGCCAAGCCUUGUCUCCAGGUCCCUGUCCACAGAGCUUAUUGUCUACCUUUUUGACAAUAGCCACUGCCAUGGGGGACGGGUGUUCUGUCAUGUUUUGAUUGACAUCUCCCCAGUGACUCCUGCAUUUGGCAUCUUCUGGGGCUUACCUGCCAUCUGCGUGCCUUCUUUAGAGACACGGCUACUCAAAUACCUGCUCAUUUUACUUUCUUUCUGGGACAGUAGGGAUGGAACCCAGAGCCUCAAGGAUAACAAGCAAGUGUUUAGUAGCGAGCAACAUCCCAUGCAAGCCAUGAAGAAAGACCUCACCAACCCUGGCAUUUUGUUCUUGGGUAUCCAGACCCCAGAA
rnacentral:sRNA from 1 species